rnacentral:tRNA from 1 species
UUUAGGUUCCUAUUAAAUAGAGCAAAUCUAUAAAUAACUAAGUGAUCUAAUUACUUUGUGAUUUUA